rnacentral:rRNA from 1 species
AGUGAACGCUGGCGGUGGGCCUAACACAUGCAAGUCGAACGGCAGCACAGUAAGAGCUUGCUCUUACGGGUGGCGAGUGGCGGACGGGUGAGGAAUACAUCGGAAUCUACUUUUUCGUGGGGGAUAACGUAGGGAAACUUACGCUAAUACCGCAUACGACCUACGGGUGAAAGCAGGGGAUCUUCGGACCUUGCGCGAUUGAAUGAGCCGAUGUCGGAUUAGCUAGUUGGCGGGGUAAAGGCCCACCAAGGCGACGAUCCGUAGCUGGUCUGAGAGGAUGAUCAGACACACUGGAACUGAGACACGGUCCAGACUCCUACGGGAGGCAGCAGUGGGGAAUAUUGGACAAUGGGCGCAAGCCUGAUCCAGCCAUACCGCGUGGGUGAAGAAGGCCUUCGGGUUGUAAAGCCCUUUUGUUGGGAAAGAAAAGCAGCAGGUUAAUACCCCGCUGUUCUGACGGUACCCAAAGAAUAAGCACCGGCUAACUUCGUG